GAUGAACGCUAGCUACAGGCUUAACACAUGCAAGUCGAGGGGCAGCAUGGUCUUAGCUUGCUAAGGCCGAUGGCGACCGGCGCACGGGUGAGUAACGCGUAUCCAACCUGCCUUACACUCUUGGACAGCCUUCUGAAAGGGAGAUUAAUACAAGAUGUUAUCAUGAGUAAGCAUUUUCGCAUGAUUAAAGGUUUACCGGUGUAAGAUGGGGAUGCGUUCCAUUAGAUAGUAGGCGGGGUAACGGCCCACCUAGUCUUCGAUGGAUAGGGGUUCUGAGAGGAAGGUCCCCCACAUUGGAACUGAGACACGGUCCAAACUCCUACGGGAGGCAGCAGUGAGGAAUAUUGGUCAAUGGACGAGAGUCUGAACCAGCCAAGUAGCGUGAAGGAUGAAGGUUCUAUGGAUUGUAAACUUCUUUUAUACGGGAAUAAACGAAUCCACGUGUGGAUUUUUGCAUGUACCGUAUGAAUAAGGAUCGGCUAACUCCGUGCCAGCAGCCGCGGUAAUACGGAGGAUCCGAGCGUUAUCCGGAUUUAUUGGGUUUAAAGGGAGCGUAGAUGGGUUGUUAGGUCAGUUGUGAAAGUUUGCGGCUCAACCGUAAAAUUGCAAUUGAUACUGGCAGUCUUGAGUACAGUUGAGGUAGGCGGAAUUCGUGGUGUAGCGGUGAAAUGCUUAGAUAUCACGAAGAACUCCGAUUGCGAAGGCAGCUUACUAACCUGUAACUGACAUUGAUGCUCGAAAGUGUGGGUAUCAAACAGGAUUAGAUACCCUGGUAGUCCACACGGUAAACGAUGAAUACUCGCUGUAGGCGAUAUACAGUCUGCGGCCAAGCGAAAGCAUUAAGUAUUCCACCUGGGGAGUACGCCGGCAACGGUGAAACUCAAAGGAAUUGACGGGGGCCCGCACAAGCGGAGGAACAUGUGGUUUAAUUCGAUGAUACGCGAGGAACCUUACCCGGGCUUAAAUUGCAACCGAAUAUGGCGGAAACGCUAUAGCUAGCAAUAGCGGUUGUGAAGGUGCUGCAUGGUUGUCGUCAGCUCGUGCCGUGAGGUGUCGGCUUAAGUGCCAUAACGAGCGCAACCCUUGCCGAUAGUUACUAACAGGUUAUGCUGAGGACUCUGUCGGGACUGCCAUCGUAAGAUGUGAGGAAGGUGGGGAUGACGUCAAAUCAGCACGGCCCUUACGUCCGGGGCUACACACGUGUUACAAUGGGGGGUACAGAGGGCUGCUACCACGCAAGUGGAUGCCAAUCCCAAAAACCUCUCUCAGUUCGGAUUGAAGUCUGCAACCCGACUUCAUGAAGCUGGAUUCGCUAGUAAUCGCGCAUCAGCCACGGCGCGGUGAAUACGUUCCCGGGCCU
rnacentral:rRNA from 1 species